CCCUUAGAUGUUCUGGGCCGCACGCGCGCUACACUGACUGGUGCAACAAGUGUCUGACCUUGGCUCGAGAGGCCUGGGCAACCUUUGAACGCCAGUCGUGCUGGGGAUAGAUUCUUGCAAUUAUUAAUCUUCAACGAGGAAUUCCUAGUAAACGCAAGUCAUCAGCUUGCAUUGAUUACGUCCCUGCCCUUUGUACACACCGCCCGUCGCACCUACCGAUUGAAUGGUCCGGUGAAUAAUUCGGACUGCAGCAGUGUUCAGUUCCUGAACGUUGCAGCGGAAAGUUUAGUGAACCUUAUCACUUAGAGGAAGGAGAAGUCGUAACA
rnacentral:rRNA from 1 species